rnacentral:rRNA from 1 species
CCUACGGGCGGCAGCAGUGGGGGAUAUUGCACAAUGGGGGAAACCCUGAUGCAGCGACGCCGCGUGAGUGAAGAAGUAUUUCGGUAUGUAAAGCUCUAUCAGCAGGGAAGAAAAAAGCCGGUACCUGCCUAAGAACCCCCGCUAAAGACGUGCCAGCCGCCGCGGUAAUACGUAGGGGGCCAGCGGUAUUCGGAUUUACUGGGUGGAAAGGGAGCGUAGACGGCCAUACAAGUCGGAAGUGAAAUACCCGGGCUCAACCCGGGAACUGCAUUGGAAAAUGUAUGGCUGGAGUGCUGGAGAGGUAAGCGGAAUUCCUAGUGGAGCGGUGAAAUGCGUAGAUAUUAGGAGGAACAUCAGUGGCGAAGGCGGCUUACUGGACAGUAACUGACGUUGAGGCUCGAAAGCGUGGGGAGCAAACAGGAUUAGAUACCCUGGUAGUC